rnacentral:rRNA from 1 species
AUUGAACGCUGGCGGCAUGCUUUACACAUGCAAGUCGAACGGUAACAGGCCGCAAGGUGCUGACGAGUGGCGAACGGGUGAGUAAUGCAUCGGAACGUGCCCAGUCGUGGGGGAUAACUGCUCGAAAGAGCAGCUAAUACCGCAUACGAUCUAUGGAUGAAAGCGGGGGACCGUAAGGCCUCGCGCGAUUGGAGCGGCCGAUGUCAGAUUAGGUAGUUGGUGGGGUAAAGGCUCACCAAGCCAACGAUCUGUAGCUGGUCGGAGAGGACGACCAGCCCCACAGGGAAUGAGGCACGGCCGAGACUCCUACGGGAGGCAGCAGUGGUGAAUUAUGGACAAUGGGGGCAACCCUGAUCCAGCAAUGCCGCGUGCAGGAAGAAGGCCUUCGGGUUGUAAACUGCUUUUGUACGGAACGAAACGGUCUGGGUUAAUACCCUGGGCUAAUGACGGUACCGUAAGAAUAAGCACCGGCUAACUACGUGCCAGCCGCCGCGUAAUAC